AUUGAACGCUGGCGGCAGGCCUAACACAUGCCAGUCGAACGGUAACAGGAAACAGCUUGCUGUUUCGCUGACGAGUGGCGGACGGGUGAGUAAUGUCUGGGAAACUGCCUGAUGGAGGGGGAUAACUACUGGCAACGGUAGCUAAUACCGCAUAACGUCGCAAGACCAAAGAGGGGGACCCUCGGGCCUCUUGCCAUCGGAUGUCCCCAGAUGGGAUUAGCUUGUUGGUGGGGUAACGGCUCACCAAGGCGACGAUCCCUAGCUGGUCUGAGAGUAUGACCAGCCACACUGGAACUGAGACACGGUCCAGACUCCUACGGGAGGCAGCAGUGGGGAAUAUUGCACAAUGGGCGCAAGCCUGAUGCAGCCAUGCCGCGUGUAUGAAGAAGGCCUUCGGGUUGUAAAGUACUUUCAGCGGGGAGGAAGGGAGUAAAGUUAAUACCUUUGCUCAUUGACGUUACCCGCAGAAGAAGCACCGGCUAACUCCGUG
rnacentral:rRNA from 1 species